rnacentral:tRNA from 1 species
CUGAAUAGGCGGGCCUCGAUCCCGCGAUAUGUCAA